rnacentral:rRNA from 1 species
GACGAACGCUGGCGGCGUGCUUAACACAUGCAAGUCGAACGGAAAGGCCCUGCUUUUGUGGGGUGCUCGAGUGGCGAACGGGUGAGUAACACGUGAGUAACCUGCCCUUGACUUUGGGAUAACUUCAGGAAACUGGGGCUAAUACCGGAUAGGAGCUCCUGCUGCAUGGUGGGGGUUGGAAAGUUUCGGCGGUUGGGGAUGGACUCGCGGCUUAUCAGCUUGUUGGUGGGGUAGUGGCUUACCAAGGCUUUGACGGGUAGCCGGCCUGAGAGGGUGACCGGCCACAUUGGGACUGAGAUACGGCCCAGACUCCUACGGGAGGCAGCAGUGGGGAAUAUUGCACAAUGGGCGGAAGCCUGAUGCAGCAACGCCGCGUGCGGGAUGACGGCCCUCGGGUUGUAAACCGCUUUCGCCUGUGACGAAGCGUGAGUGACGGUAAUGGGUAAAGAAGCACCGGCUAACUACGU